rnacentral:lncRNA from 1 species
UUAAACAAUGUUUCAUAAUAACUUGUGAAAUAACAAUGCGGAAUAAAGUACAAGCCCGACAUCGGAGUGUCACUAGUCAUGAGCAUCUAUCAAGGUAUGAAUAACAACAAAAGUCUAAAAAUAUACUAAAUACAGUAAUAGCAACUUGAGGAAGGGAGCAGUGCUGCGAACGUCAUGCAACCACCUGCUAACUCUGAUGACUCCGUGUCUAAGCAAAACAACACCCGCUAUCGGGUUCUGAUAUACGUACAUCUGCACACGAGGUGUAAGGAGUAAUAUGAGUACUCCAAUCCAAUAAGUAAUAAGAGCACAUAAAGACUAAGCAGUAGAAAACAAUGAAUCCACAUUCACGUUAGGCUCAAUAAACACAAUAGGCUUCCAAUUCAUAAUACAAGUCAACUUUUCCUUUUUAAAAUACAACCCAAGAUAUAAUAACAUCAAACAAUUAACUAUCAAUUACACAUGAAAAUAAUUAGUCGGGAUGGACCAGGUCACAAUCCCCACCGGUGCUCUACUUCACGCUCAUCAUCUAGCGUGUAAGUCACCUCAAUGUAACACAAUGAAGUGUAAUCCAGGAUUUCAAACCCCUCAGGACAGUAUUUACAAUCAUUACUUACCUCGAAUCGGCGAAUUUCCUAGCUCGCGACGCCUUUGCCCCUCAAUUCGGCCUCCACGCACGUCGAAUCUAUCCAAAAUCAGAGCGAAUGCAUCACAAUAUGCUAAGGGAACAACGCCCAACUGAAAACAAUCAAUAAUGGGCACAAAUCCCGAAUUACCAAAAUUCGAGCCCCGGGCUCACUUCUCGAACUCACAAAUUUACACAUCAGCGGGUUCCUUAUCCUCCCACGAAUGCAUACAUACCAAAAGUUCUAAAAUCUGACCCCAAAUGGUCCGUCAAAUCCCAAUUUAAAAGUCUAAUUUCUCAAGCCCUAGUUUUUUAAUUUUAGGCUUAGUUCCCAUGAAUUUCUAGGUAGAUUUCACAAAAAAAAAAUGAGUUUUAAGCUCAAGAAACAUACCUUCAAACAUUUCCUUUGAAUCUCUCUUUAAUAACCUUCCAAAACCCUUCAAAACGAGCAGCUAUAGUGGAAAAAUACCCCUACCUUCGCGAACAAAACGCCUUUAAAAUAUUAUGUCCAGGCCUGACAUUCCUUUUUUGCGAACGCAGUCAACCUCUCACGAACGCGUAGAACAAAAUUUCAUGACCAAUUUUUACCUUACGCAAAUGCGACAUGCCAGUCGUGAAUGCAAUUCUUCCACAGCCUUGAACUUCGCGAACGCGUUCGCUUCCACACGAACGCGAUGAAUAACUGACCAUCAGCCCCAAAUCCUCUUCCAUGAUCGCGUACACAUACUCGUGAUCGCGAUGAAGUCCCCUCACAAGCCUUCGCGAAUGUGGUAUGGACCCUCGUGAACGUGAAGCUUACAAAACUCAGCCUUUUAUUAACGCGAAGGCCAAAAUAACUGCAACACCAAAACUAAAAAUCUGCAAUCUCUCAAACACAAAAAAAUGGUCUGAUUGCCCAUCCGAAACUCAUCUGAGGCCCCGAAAUCUCAACCAAAGCCACCAACAUAUCCCAUAACAUCAUUCAAAUUUUUUCCAAUCAUCAAAACACCUAAAACAACAUCAAAACCAUCGAAUUGCAUUGAAUUCAAGCCUAAGUUCUUUUAAAACUCUCUGAAACACGCAUUCGAUAAAAAACCCAACCAAAUCACCUCUGAAUGAACUGAAAUUUUACACACUCAUCCAAAAUAUAUAACGAAGCUACAGAAACUCUCAAAAAUCUAUUCCAACCCUCGGAUCAAAAUCUCACCAAUCAACUGAAAUUCGCCAAAAUACAAACUUUACCGAUUCAAGCCAAAUCCUUCCACGUACUUCCAAAAUGCAUUCUGAUCGUGCUCCUAAGGCAUAAAUCACCUAACGGAGCUAGCGAAAUCGUAAAAUUCCUAUCCAAGCUCAUAUAAAAAUAAUUCAAAUCUUGGUCAAACAUUUCAAAUUUUAAGCUUUAAAUUGAGAAUAUUUCUUCCAAAUUCAUUUUGAUUAACCUGAAACCAAAACCAACGAUCUUAUAGGUCAUAUUACACCACAUGGGCUAAAUCAUGCAUGAGAACUGGCGAUCAAAGUGCAAAGGGUAAAAACGACUGGUUGGGUUGUUACAUCCUUCCCUACUUAAACGCACGUUCGUCCUCGAAAGUACCCAGAGUUGUUCUGGAAGUCAACCAAUAGCUGAAUAACUUUACCAUGCAUAUACCGGGGGUGAUCCCACGACACCCUAUCUCAUAUAGGUCCGAUAACAUAUUUUUACUAAAAUUGCACAACCUAUUCUAGCCCAUAAUACAACCAAAUUUUCACUUCUGAAACCAUCAAUACGAUUAAAACCUUACAACUAUACUCUAGAUUGGCUCUAACUAGCUCUAAUAACCCCUGCCUGCAACUUCAAGUGCAAUUAUCUGAUACACCACGUUAACUUCUAUUCCCAACAACUGCACACCACACCCGAAUUCGGUAGAAAACCUCUUAUCAACUAAAGUCUCAUUCCAACACUUCCAUGUACUACCAAUGAUAAAUGAAAAACGUAAUAAGCCAUAACCAUUUCUUAGAUCAGCCAUCCACAAGGUUACUUCUCCCUUGGAAAGGACCAUAGCAAAUUCCUGAACUGAAACUCUCCAGUACCAUCACAACACAUGGCUGAGAACCCAUCUCGCAUAAUGGGAAUAGAACACACUAAUCUAACCCGCAAGGUCAUAAUUCCGCAUAGCUUCUUCACCACGCGCGAUCCAAUCCAGACAUUGCUCCACAUAGAAUACCUCAAGUCACUAUGCUCGAAAUCGACAACCAUGCACAAUUUGAUGUCAAGAACCAAGGCAUAUUAUUACACCCAUGGUGAAACAAAUAAUGUAUACCAAGCAACCUAAUAGGACACAACCGAUAUGCCAUUCAGCAAACAACACCCAAUUACUCUUCCCGCUCGACUACCACUAUGAGACCCUAAAUGAACUGCACCAUAUGUGCCCAUAAUCAACAAACCAUGUCGUCAACACCGAAAUACAACUCAUAGACCACCCCAGAUUACUAAUAAGCUCAAUAACAAUCGAAUCAACACAUCCCACAAUAAUACAAUUCGAAGUCAAUAAAACCAUCUCGAUGCAGGAAACAUAUCCGCAUAGGUCCACCAAUGGAACACUACACACAAUAGGUAAAUAAUCCUUCGAAGGCCCACGAUGACUGAAUCAAAGCACAUACUAAUAACUGACUAUCUUACCCACAUUUUGCCAUCCACAACCACAAGCCAACCUCCUUAUGAGAACUUCUAGUCUCCAAGUCCAUAAAAUACACCAAUUACCAUAUCUAAUCCCAUUUCCACCACUCGCAUAUAUAACUCACAUCUAGUACUCAAUUAUUCCAUGAGAGAUACUCUAAGAAAAUACACAUCUCCAACCAUGAUAGAAGUCAACAAGAGCUCUCCUAAUUUCAUUUGCACAAACUAGACCGCCAGGACUGAAUCCUUCUAACUAGACCAAGCUAAGCAAGCCGUCAAAGCGCAAGAGCAUUGCUGCAAAAUAUCUGGACGAACCCAUUACCUUGAACACACAUGAAGAUUUAAUCAUAUUCUUAUCAUACCGAUCUGGUCUACUAUCAAGCUGUUCCAUCCAUCUAGAUUUCCUUCUCAUUUAUCUUUAACUUGAUAAUCCUUCUUGCUGUGGCACCACAAUUCCUCAACCCAAGGCUUACCACACGGGACCCAAGCAUAAAACCACAUUGUUCAAAACCCAUAUACUGAUGAACACUCCCUUAAAUAUUCCCAAAACCACCACAUUCCAAAAUACAUUACUCUGCAGAACUUCCUAUGAAACUAAAUCUGUUACCUUUACUUUCCUGAUACUGAUACAUAGAAUCUCAUAGUUAACAUAAAAAUACCACAAGCCUUGAACUCUUUCAAUGGAAACUCGGUUUCUAACCACAUAUAUGAAUUUGAGAUGCCCAAUUUCUACAUGAAGCAUCUUGAACAUAUUCGAACCAUUUUCGAGAGUUAUUCAUUCUGUUCAUUCUACACUUAAUCCGAUCAACAGAACCGAACAACCAGUGCCUAAUUGGCACUUCUGACACUACAGAACAUAACAUUUCCUUAGUCAAAAUUUUCCUUUACUCGAGCCAUCCUCGGAUCAACCUCCGCAACUAGAACUAAUUCACCAUUUGCCUCAGAUCAAAACGAAUAUAGCAUAUGACCGAGCAAUCAGCUAAUCAAUAGUAAACUCCCCCACUUGGCUUGAAGCCAUAUAUCAGAAUACAUUUAAUAGCUCAUAACACUUAUACUAUAUUGAUGCCACAAUACCAUAGUGAGAUUAAACUCGAAUCUUUUGUGAGCUUGUGAAACACAAACCAUCUAGUACUUUAAAUCUUCAGCAAAUCUCGCAUUCAUCCUUGCAACAGUGAAGCCCACUCUCUUAAGCGGCCCAAAUUUAAAUUUCAAUACAUAUUUUUCACUAGUAAAUGAGAUCUUCUAAUAGACAGCAUAAGGAUUGCACCACUUCAGAACACUCCGCAGGAUAAAACCCACAUGUUUUGCCUUCAACUAACAAUUUUGUAUACCUUCCACCAUCACAAACAUUAUGCAGUCAAUUAGCCUUUCUGAGUCUAAACUCAUACCGAAACAUAAAAUUUACAUCACUCUCAAUUGGAAAACAUGAAAUGUCCUUCACAUGUCCAUAACUCGGGGCAAUACCUCAUAUCACAAUGGAAUUCAAAUACCUAACAGUUCUUCUAUCAUCCAGCAGACCUUCCUCGUUAGUUCCAAGUCACAUAGAAAUAUCUCGCAGUACAAACAUACUCAUCAUAUAGCUAUCCAGUCGUCACUCCCACUAAUAGGAACAAUACCGAACGUGUAAGUUCAAAACCCAUGCUCACACAAUCAGCACGACGGUGCUCAAGCCAUAGGCGAAGAUCCGACCUCAAGUCCUCCAGACUGGCCCAACAUCAACUCAUAGAGAUCACAUCUCGCCCCUCAAUCGGGGAAUCACAAGUCAUUGACGCACAUCUGAUAUUGAGCGCUCAUGCACACAUACGAACGCGUGGAAGGAAUUUCGAGAGUUAACUUUCAAGCUGAAUCAAGGACGCUCAAUAAAAAUUCAAGAAUGAGAAGUUUUCCUAAUGGUUUCGUAGCCGCUCGAGGAUAAAUACUGACGUCUCCGUACCGAACCAAGAGACUCUACUAAACCUGCUCAUGACUCGUAAGACCUAGUAACCUAGGUUCUGAAACCAACUUGUCACGACCCAAAACCAGUCAUGAUAGUGCCUCUCAUGAGGACAUGGCCAGCCGACACAACACUCAUAUUAACCCCUUAAGCAUUAAGAUUUAUUUUUAAGCCUUCAAUUAAACAAUGUUUCAUAAUAACUUCUAAAAUAAUAGCGUGGAAUAAAAUACAAGCCCGACAUCGGGGUAUCACUAGUCAUGAGCAUCUAUCAAGGUCUGAAUAACAACAAAAGCCUAAAAAUAUACUAAAUACAGUAAUUGCAACGUGAGGAAGGGAGCAGUGCUGCCACGUCAUGCAGCCACCUACUAACUAUGAUGACUCCGCGUCUGACCAAAACAACACUCGCUAUCGGAUUCCGAUAUACCAGCAUCUAAACACGAGGUGUUGGGAGUAAUGCGAGUACUCCAACCCAGUAAGUAAUAAGAGUAAAUAAAGGCUAAGCAAUAGGAAAGAAUGAAUCUGCAUUCAUAUUAGGCUCAAUAAACAGAACAGGCUUUCAAAUCAUAAUACGAGUCAACCUUCCAUUUUUUAAAAUACAGCUCUUAGUAAAAAUAACUUUUGAAGCACUUUCCGGCAGUUUCAGUAGGGGUUAAUACCACUUAAGAUGAUUAUUGAGAUUAUAGCCAGAAUCGGCCCCUCGGGCAAAACAUAGUUCGUAAAAUAGCCGUUCGGGCAAAACAAUAAUCAUAAACACUUAAUAACUUGAAAUCUAAGUGGAAAUAGCCAAAUACAAAACCAGUGAUUAAUUUCUGAACGUCUCGUAAACCCCAGUUUAAAUAAAAGUUAUUUUAAAAUAUUUGUUCAACUUUUUGACAGAGGCUCAAUAUAAAGAUGAGUGAAAUAGUCAAUAAAUCAACAUAUUCGAUAGAAUCUCGCUGUUAAGAGGAUCGAAAUCAAUAAGUUCAUAAACAGGCUUUCAGGCAAACUAUCACUGAUGUGCAUGUAUACAUCUAUCGCCCUUCGGGCUUUCCUCUCUAUCAUUUGUAACUCAUCUCUUGCCAAACAACACUCGCACUCAGCAUUCACGCUCAAUAGGUAAACCAUAGUAACUGCUACGACAGGUAACCCAUAUUUCGUCGACGGUGGUUACUAGGGGUGUGCAGACUCUGAGAGGGUCCCUUACUCCCCAAGCGCAAUAUUGCUGCGACGUGCAGCCCAUUUCAACAUAUCGCUACGACGUGCAGCCCGAUUCAUAUAAGUAUCGCUGCGACGUGCCCCAGCGGUAAUCUACCCCAUGCUCAUCAUCUAGAGUGUAAGUCACCUCAACAUAACACAACGAUGUAUAAUCUGGUGUUUCAAAUCCUCAGGAUAAUAUUUACAAUCAUUACUUACCUAGAACUGGCAAAUUCCCUAGCUCGCAACGCCUUUUCCCCUCAAAUUGGCCACCACGCUCGUCGAAUCUAUCCAAAUUCAGAGCGAAUGCAUUACAAUAUGCUAAGGGAACAAGGCCCAAGCGAAAACAAUCAAUAACGGGCACAAAUCCCAACAUUACUAAAACCCGAGCCUUGGGCCCACUUUUCCAAACUCAAAAAAUUUCACAUCAACGGGUUCCUUAUCCUCCCACAAGUUCAUACAUAUCAAAAGUUCUAAAAUCCAACCCCUAAUGGUCCGUUAAAUCCCAAUUUAAACGUCCAAUUUCUCAAGCCCUAGUUCUUCAAUUUUAGGCUUAGUUCCCAUGAAUUUCAAGAUGGAUUUCACAAAAAAAAAAAAAGAGUUUUAAGCUUAAGAAACUUACCUUCAAACGUUUACCUUGAAUCUCUCUUUAAUAACCUUCCAAAACACUUCAAAACAAUAACUAUGGUGGAAAAAUACCCCCACCUUUCGCGAACGGAACGCCUUUAAAACAUUUAAUCCAGGCCUGACAUUCCUUUUUCGCAAACGCGGUCAAUCUCUCGCCAACACGUAGAACAAGAUUACGUUAAACAGUAUUUAUCUUACGCACACGCGGCAUGCUAAUUGCGAACUAAAUGGUUCCACAGCCUUGAACUUUGCGAGCGUGAUGAAACUGACCAUCAGCCCCAAAUCCUCUUCCGCUAUCGCGUACACAAACUCGCGAUCACGAUGAAGUCCCCUCACAAGUCUUCGAGAACACGCAUGGAUCCUUGAGAAUGCGAAGCUCACAAAACUCAGCCAUUCACAAACGUGAGCUCUCCUUCACGAACACGAAGGCCAAAAUGCCUGCAACACCAAAACUGAAAAUCUGCAAUCUCUCAAAUACAAAAAAAUUGUCCGAUUGACCACCCGAAACUCACCCGAGGCCCCCGGUACCUCAACCAAAUCCAUCAACAUAUCCCAUAACUUCAUUCAAACUUGUUCCAAUCAUCAAAACACCUCAAACAACAUCAAAACCAUGUAACCACAUAUAUGACUUUGAGAUGCCCAAUUUCUACAUGAAGCAUCUUGAACACAUUCAAACCAUUUUCGAGAGUUAUUCAUUCUGUUCAUACUACACAUAGCCCGAUCAACAGAACCGAAAAACCAGUGCCUCAUUGGCACUUCAGACACUGCAGAACAUAACAUUUCCUUAGUCAAAAUUUUCCUUUACUCGAGCCAUUAGGCUCAACCUCCGCAACUAGAACUAAUUCACCAUACGUCUCAAAUCAAAACCAAUAUAUCAUAUAACCGAGCAAUCAGCUAAUCAAUAGCAAACCACCCCACUUGGCUCGAAGCCAUUUAUCAGAAUACAUUUAAUAGCUCAUUACACUUAUACUAUAUUGAUGCCACAAUACAAUAGUGAGAUUAAACUCGAAUGCUUUGUAAGCUUGUGAAACACAGACCAUCUAGUACUUUUAAUCUUCUGCAAAUCUUGCAUUCAUCCUCGCAACAGUCAAGCCCACUCUCUUAAGCGGCCCAAAUUUAAAUUUCAAUACAUAUUUUUCACUAGUAAAUGAAAUCUUCUAACAGACAACAUAAGGAUUGCAUCACUUCAGAACACUCCGCAGGAUAUAACCCACAUGUUUUGCCUUCAACUAACAAUUUUGUAUACCUUCCACCAUCACAAACAUUAUGCAUUCAAUUAGCCUUUUUGAGUCUAAACUCAUACCGAAACAUAAAGUUUACAUCACUCUCAAUUGGAAAACAUGAAAUUUCCUUCACACGUCCAUAACUCGGGGCUAUACCUCAAAUCACAAUGGAAUCCAAAUACCUAACAGUUCUUCUAUCAUCCAGCAGACCUUCCUCGUUAGUUCCAAGCCACAUAGAAAUAUCUCGCAGUACUAAUAUACUCAUCAUAUUGCUAUCCAGUUGUCACUCCCACUAAUAGGGACAAUACCAAACGUGUAAGUUCAAAACCCUUGCUCACACAAUCAGCACGACGGUGCUCAAGCCAUAGGCGAAGAUCUGGCCUCAAGUCCUCCAGACUGGCCCAACAUCAAUUCAUAGAGAUCACAUCUCGCCCCUCAAUCGGGGAAUCACAAGUCAUUGACGCACAUCUGAUACUGAGCGCUCAUGCACGCAUACGAACGCGUGGAAGGAAUUUCGAGACCUAACUUUCAAGCUGAAUCAAGGACGCUCAAUAAGAAUUCAAGAAUGUGAAGUUUUCCUAAAGGUUUCGUAGCAUCUCGAGGAUAAAUACUAACAUCUCCGUACUGAUCCGGGAGACUCUACUAAACCUGCUCAUGACUCGUAAGACCUAGUAACCUAGGUUAUGAAACCAACUUAUCACGACCCAAAACCAGUCGUGACACUGCCUCUCAUGAGGACGGGGCCAGCCAAUACAACACUCAUAUUAAUCACUUAAGCAUUAAGAUUUAUUUUUAAGCCUUUAACUAAACAAUGUUUCAUAAUAACUUCUGAAAUAAUAGUGUGGAAUAAAAUACAAGCCCGACAUCGGGGUGUCACUAGUCAUGAGCAUCUAUCAAGGUCUGAAUAACAACAAAGGCCUAAAAAAAUACUAAAUACAGUAAUAGUAACGUGAGGAAGGGAGCAGUGCUGCAAACGUCAUGCAGCCACCUACUAACUCUGAUGACUCCGCGUCUGACCAAAACAACACUCGCUAUCGGAUUCCGAUAUACCAGCAUCUGAACACGAGGUGUAGGGAGUAAUGCGAGUAUUCCAACCCAGUAAAUAAUAAGAGUAAAUAAAGGCUAAGCAAUAGGAAACAAUGAAUCUGCAUUCAUAUUAUGCUCAAUAAACACAACAGGCUUUCAAAUCAUAAUACGAGUCAACCUUCCCUUUUUUUUAAAAUACAGCUCUUAGUAAAAAUAACUUUUGAAGCACUUUCUAGUAGUUUCAGUUAGGGUUAAUACCACUUAGGAUGAUUAUAGCGAUUAAAGCCAGAAUCGGCCCCUCGGGCAAAACAUAGUUCGUAAAAUAGCCCUCGGGCAAAACAAUAAUCAUAAACACUUCAUAACUUGAAAUCUCAGUGGAUAUAGCCAAAUACAAAACCAGUGAUUAAUUUCUAAACGUCUCGUAAACCCCAGUUUAAAUAAAAAUUAUUUUAAAAUAUUUGUUCAACUUUUUGACGGAGAUUGAAUAUAAAGAUGAGUAAAAAUAGUCAAUAAAUCAACAUAAUCGAUAGAAACUCGCUGUUAAGAGGACCGAAAUCAAUAAGUUCAUAAACAGGCCUUUCAGGAAAACUAUCCCUGAUGUGCAUGUAUGCAUCUAUCGCCCUUCGGGCUUUCCUCUCUAUCAUUCGUAACUCAACUCUUGCCAAACAACACUCGUCGUCAGCAUUCACGCUCAAUAGGUAACCCAUAGUAAUCGCUACGAUAGGUAACCCAUAUUUCGUCGACGGUGCUCACUAGGGGUGUGCAGACUCCGAGAGGGGCCCCUUACUCCCCAAGCACAAUAUUGUUGCGGCGUGCAGCCCGCUCCAACAUAUCGCUACGAUGUGCAGCCCAAUUCAUAUAAGUAUCGCUGCGACGUGCCACGGCGGUAAUCUACCCCACGCUCAUCAUCUAGCGUGUAAGUCACCUCAACAUAACACAAAGAUGUAUAAUCCAGUGUUUCAAAUCCUCAAGAUAACAUUUACAAUCAUUACUUACCUAGAACCGGCGAACUCCCUAGCUCGCAACGCCUUUUUCCGUCAAAAGUCGGCCACCACGCUCGUCGACUAUCCAAAUUUAGAGCAAAUGCAUUACAAUAUGCUAAGGAAACAAGGCCCAAGCGAAAACAAUCAAUAACGGGCACAAAUCCUGAAAUUACCAAAACCCGAGCCUUGGGCCCACUUUUCCAAACUCAAAAAAUUUCACGUCAACGUGUUACUCAUCCUCCCACGAGUUCAUACAUAUCGAAAGUUCUAAAAUCCGACCCCAAAUGGUCCGUUAAAUCCCAAUUUAAAUGUCUAAUUUCUCAAGCCCUAGUUCUUCAAUUUUAGGCUUAGUUCCCAUGAAUUUCUAGAUGGAUUUCACACAAAAAAAAAAGAGUUUAAGCUUAAGAAACUUACCUUCAAACGUUUUCCUUGAAUAUCUCUUUAAUAACCUUCCCAAACACUUCAAAACGAACAACUAUGGUGGAAAAAUACCCCCACCUUUGCGAACAGAAUGCCUUUAUAGGUCAUAAUAGACCACAUGGGCCAAAUCAUAUGCGAGAACUGGAGAUCAAAGUGUAAAGGGUCAAAACGACCGAUCAGACCGUUACAUAUAAUUUUGAAUCACGAAAAAUAAAUAUAGAUAAAAUUUGAUUCUUCCUGAUGAAACAAUAUUAGUUGGUAUGAGUCAAGCAGGUGACCCAAUGAAAACUAUAAAAC